GGGUGGAUUAGUGGCGAACGGGUGAGUAACACGUGGGCAAUCUGCCCUUCACUCUGGGACAAGCCCUGGAAACGGGGUCUAAUACCGGAUAACACUCUGUCCCGCAUGGGACGGGGUUAAAAGCUCCGGCGGUGAAGGAUGAGCCCGCGGCCUAUCAGCUUGUUGGUGGGGUAAUGGCCUACCAAGGCGACGACGGGUAGCCGGCCUGAGAGGGCGACCGGCCACACUGGGACUGAGACACGGCCCAGACUCCUACGGGAGGCAGCAGUGGGGAAUAUUGCACAAUGGGCGAAAGCCUGAUGCAGCGACGCCGCGUGAGGGAUGACGGCCUUCGGGUUGUAAACCUCUUUCAGCAGGGAAGAAGCGAAAGUGACGGUACCUGCAGAAGAAGCGCCGGCUAACUACGUGCCAGCAGCCGCGGUAAUACGUAGGGCGCAAGCGUUGUCCGGAAUUAUUGGGCGUAAAGAGCUCGUAGGCGGCUUGUCACGUCGGAUGUGAAAGCCCGGGGCUUAACCCCGGGUCUGCAUUCGAUACGGGCUAGCUAGAGUGUGGUAGGGGAGAUCGGAAUUCCUGGUGUAGCGGUGAAAUGCGCAGAUAUCAGGAGGAACACCGGUGGCGAAGGCGGAUCUCUGGGCCAUUACUGACGCUGAGGAG
rnacentral:rRNA from 1 species